rnacentral:rRNA from 1 species
AGAGUUUGAUCCUGGCUCAGGAUGAACGCUGACAGAAUGCUUAACACAUGCAAGUCUACUUGAAUUGGGUUUUUAACUUAGGUUUGGGUGGCGGACGGGUGAGUAACGCGUAAAGAACUUGCCUCACAGCUAGGGACAACAUUUAGAAAUGAAUGCUAAUACCUAAUAUUAUGAUAAUAGGGCAUCCUAUAAUUAUGAAAGCUAUAUGCGCUGUGAGAGAGCUUUGCGUCCCAUUAGCUAGUUGGAGAGGUAACGGCUCACCAAGGCGAUGAUGGGUAGCCGGCCUGAGAGGGUGAUCGGCCACAAGGGGACUGAGACACGGCCCUUACUCCUACGGGAGGCAGCAGUGGGGAAUAUUGGACAAUGGACCGAGAGUCUGAUCCAGCAAUUCUGUGUGCACGAUGAAGUUUUUCGGAAUGUAAAGUGCUUUCAGUUGGGAAGAAAGAAAUGACGGUACCAACAGAAGAAGUGACGGCUAAAUACGUG